rnacentral:lncRNA from 1 species
ACAUUUUUUUCUAAUCGAUUUUGAUAUAUGGAACGUUGAAAUCGGAGCUCGUAUGCGAAAGUUAUGUCUAUUUUACGAACGGACUCCAAAUUAGAGGACAAAAUGGUCCGAAAGUGGCAAAAAUUUGCGACGGUGGCUAGAAAUUUAUGGAAACAGUGGUGGAAAACAUACGAACUGAACUCUAACAAGACCUAACAAGCAACAAAACCUCGACGAGGACACAAACUUAACACUACGGACUCUGAAACUGAAAUAUGCAAAGACUAUGACGCGGAAGGGUUGUAGGACAAGAAAACGAUAUGACACUGCACUUAUGGGACGAACACAAGAACACUCGAAACUAAGGGCAGAUGUGAAUCUAAUGGUAUACCUAAAGCUUUUAUUUCCACAUGAUGAGAACAAGGGUGACCCGAUCUUCUGAAAGGUUCUGGUAACUCUCGAUUUGGUGGAGACGAGACAUAAAUCGAUCCGGCUUCCGAACAACACGAUCCGAAAACCUGUAAUUUUUUUAUUUUUUGAUAUUUUCUUUUAGUUAGAGCACCAGAGGAGUAACCACAGAAAAUUUGAGCUUAAACUAGUGAAAGACAUGGCCUACGAAAAUUUUUGAAAAUUGUGAAAAAUGUGAAAAAAACAUCACGAGGUGAAAACUCAAAUUUCAGAGGUGAAUUUGGAGGUUCUAAAAUUUUCAAACUCGCCAAUGGAGGGGACAGACAGAUCUCAAAAUUUUUUCUGAUCAAUUUUGAUAUAUGGAACGUUGAAAUUGGAGUUCGUAUGCGAAAGUUAUGGCUAUUUUACGAACGGACUCCGAAUUAGAGGGCAAAAUGGUCCGAAAGUAGGAAAAAUUCGCGGCGGUGGCUAGAAAUUGAUGGAAACGGUGGGGAAAAACACACAAACUGGACUCUAACAAGACCUAACCAGUAACAAGACCUCGACCAGGACACAAACUCAACACUGUGGACUGUGAAACUGAAAUAUGCAAAGGCUAUGGCGCGGAAGUGUUGUAGGACAAGAAAACGAUAUGACACUGGACUUAUGGGACAAACACAAGAACACUGAAAAGUAAGGGUAGAUGUGAACCUAAUGGUAUACCUAAAGCUUUGAUUACUACAUGAUGAAAAUAAGGGUGACCCGAUCUUCUAAAAGGUUCUGGUAACUCUCGAUUUGGUGAAGAUGAGACACAAAUCGAUACGGCUUCCGAAUAACAUGAUCCGAAACGCUGCAAAUUUUUUUUUAUUUUUUUGAUAUUUUACUUUUAGUUAGGAGCACCCAAGGAGUAACCAUAGAAAAUUUGAGCAUAAACAAAUGAAACACAUGGCCUGCGGAAUUUUCUGAAGAUUGUGAAAAAUGUGAAAAAAACUUCAUG